rnacentral:rRNA from 1 species
GACGAACGCUGGCGGCGUGCUUAACACAUGCAAGUCGAGCGGAAAGGCCCUGCUUUUGUGGGGUGCUCGAGUGGCGAACGGGUGAGUAACACGUGAGUAACCUGCCCUUGACUUUGGGAUAACUUCAGGAAACUGGGGCUAAUACCGGAUAGGAGCUCCUGCUGCAUGGUGGGUGUUGGAAAGUUUCGGCGGUUGGGGAUGGACUCGCGGCUUAUCAGCUUGUUGGUGGGGUAGUGGCUUACCAAGGCUUUGACGGGUAGCCGGCCUGAGAGGGUGACCGGCCACAUUGGGACUGAGAUACGGCCCAGACUCCUACGGGAGGAAGCAGUGGGGAAUAUUGCACAAUGGGCGGAAGCCUGAUGCAGCAACGCCGCGUGCGGGAUGACGGCCUUCGGGUUGUAAACCGCUUUCGCCUGUGACGAAGCGUGAGUGACGGUAAUGGGUAAAGAAGCACCGGCUAACUACGUG